AAAAAAGAGACCACAUGCAUCAUCUGUACACACCCAGCACCCAGGAAUGUAAGUUAAUUUUAUCAUUCCUUAUACUUAGUAAACGUUACCACUUGUGUGUAGUAUUUUUUGUGACUCUAUGUUUGGAUUUACUAUAGAUAAUUUUCUUUUUUCCAUCUUCAUUUUCAGGUCUGAUUUCUCUGUUCUGCAACCAGCCUUAUGCAUGCCCCUCUGAACUCAAAAAGAUCCUGGCUUCUGCAUCCAGCCCCAUUUGGUCCACAACUCUACCCCAGGCCCGCUCUCUCCCUCAGCCAAGUGGAGUCCCUACAAAACGUGGUGCACAACUGGAGACAGGACAAAGAUUUCACCUGAUGCCACGUGACGACGAGCUCAAGCACACGCAUUUUAAAAGUGAGUUUUUGAUUAGAGUGUUAGUAGUCUUGUGGCUCUUUGGCUAUGUCUAGUGAAAGGUGGACUGGUAAA
rnacentral:lncRNA from 1 species